UAGGGAAUUUUGCACAAUGGACGAAAGUCUGAUGCAGCAACGCCGCGUGAGUGAAGAAGGCCCUUGGGUUGUAAAGCUCUUUCGGCUGGGAAGAAGGGUAGAUUGGCUAAUAUCCAAUUUACUGGACGGUACCAGAAUAAGAAGCACCGGCUAACUCCGUGCCAGCAGCCGCGGUAAUACGGAGGGUGCAAGCGUUGUUCGGAAUUACUGGGCGUAAAGCGCACGUAGGCGGGUCUACAUGUCGAUUGUGAAAUCCCCGGGCUUAACCUGGGAAUUGCAGUCGAAACGGUAGAUCUUGAAUGCUUGAGAGGAUGGCGGAAUUCCUGGUGUAGUAGUGAAAUACGUAGAUAUCAGGAAGAACACCCGAGGCGAAGGCGGCUAUCUGGUGAUGCAUUGACGCUGAGGUGCGAAAGCGUGGGGAGCAAACAGG
rnacentral:rRNA from 1 species